rnacentral:rRNA from 1 species
GACGAACGCUGGCGGCGUGCUUAACACAUGCAAGUCGAACGGAAAGGCCCUGCUUUUGUGGGGUGCUCGAGUGGCGAACGGGUGAGUAACACGUGAGUAACCUGCCCUUGACUUUGGGAUAACUUCAGGAAACUGGGGCUAAUACCGGAUAGGAGCUCCUGCUACAUGGUGGGGGUUGGAAAGUUUCGGCGGUUGGGGAUGGACUCGCGGCUUAUCAGCUUGUUGGUGGGGUAGUGGCUUACCAAGGUUUUGACGGGUAGCCGGCCUGAGAGGGUGACCGGCGACCUUGGGACUGCGGUACGCACCAGUCUCCUACGGGCGGCAGCAGUGGAGAGUAUUGCGCAAUGGGCCGGAGCCUGAUGCAGCAACGCCGCGUGCGGGAUGCCGGCCUUCGGGUUGUAAACCGCUUUCGCCUGUGACGAAGCGUGCGUGACGGUAAUGGGUAAGGAAGCACCGGCUAACUACGUG